UCCAGACUCCUACGGGAGGCAGCAGUGAGGAAUAUUGGUCAAUGGUCGGGAGACUGAACCAGCCAAGCCGCGUGAGGGAUGAAGGUACAGAGUAUCGUAAACCUCUUUUGUCAGGGAACAAAGGCGGGGACGCGUCCCCGGAUGAGUGUACCUGAAGAAAAAGCAUCGGCUAACUACGUGCCAGCAGCCGCGGUAAUACGUAGGGGGCAAGCGUUAUCCGGAUUUACUGGGUGUAAAGGGAGCGUAGACGGCAGCACAAGUCUGGAGUGAAAUGCCGGGGCUGAACCCCGGAACUGCUUUGGAAACUGUGCAGCUAGAGUGCAGGAGAGGUAAGUGGAAUUCCUAGUGUAGCGGUGAAAUGCGUAGAUAUUAGGAGGAACACCAGUGGCGAAGGCGGGUUGCUAGACUGUAACUGACACUGAGGCACGAAAGCGUGGGGAGCAAACAGGAUUAGAUACCCUCGUACA
rnacentral:rRNA from 1 species